CUCCCCUGUACUGAGGACUCCACAUCUGGAUGCAGUACUCCAGAAAAACUGGGACAGGAGAGGCAACGGGGACAUAAUCAAGAUUGAGGCGGAGAGUGAAGAAGGGGAGGUAAGUUUUUAAACUGCUGCUGCUGUAGUUAGCCUUGGCUGACUGCUAGGUGCCAUGCAACUGCUGUCUCACUCCCCAUCCCCAACAGGACACUAACCAGUCACUGUCAAAGGCAAAACAGACUUGACUUGGGUAAAAGUAAUUUACUAACAAUUAAAAAAAUAAUUCUGAUGGUGAGAAAUGAUUGAAAAGUGUUUUACCAAAUAUUUAAGAGUAAGGAUGGGAUAGACUAGAAGGGAUCUAUUGGCAGUGAAUGCUUUCUUUGCCUUAGGGCACGUAGCAGCUCUACUGGCCUUGCCUGGAGGCCACUGCUAGAGAGGACUCCUUUUUCAGAACAUCAGCUGAGAUGCUGACUAUCUGCUGCAGCACCUGAGUGAAUCCUGCUGCAGGAGGUGUAUAAAUACAAUGCAGUUUCCCUCCAGCAAAGAUUGAAAACAUUUAGCUGUUGUCUUCAUCAGAUAGACGUGUGCUUGGAGUAAAUACGUUUAUGAAGAGACCCUGAAGGAAGAGGAUGAAUAUGAGAAGAUUUUUGCUAUAGAAGAAAUGAGGGCUGUAUGUUAGCCAGGAAGAGUAAAACUACAGAGCAAAAACCAGAGGCAUCUACCUUAUGGAAAUCCUAGAGAAAAAGCAAGAUAUGAAGUAGAUAUAGAUACUUUGUCAUAUGGACAGAACUUUAAUGCAUAUGUACUGAUAAAUACCCAUAUGCUGAAGUAGCAACUUUGAUUCAUAUUUAUACAUUCUUGCAUUCAACAUAUAAAUCCCAGCUACACAAUCUGUUAGGAAGGCAUGUUGUUAUGGUUUUGAAGACACGUAACUUUGUGAGGGAGAGAGGACUUGGCUGAGAAAGACAUAAAGAAGCUGCACAAUUAUCAAGGAUAGGUUGAGAAUUAUGGAGAGGAUGAAAGAGGAAGGUAAGAGACACGGAAACAAAAUCCCUCACCACUCCUCCCUAGCAGAUUCUAGGUGCACUGAGGCAGUGACAGUGUGAAAACAGAGAACACCCUCCCUCUGCUCUGUGUGCCAGUGCUGCUGAAUGAGCUUCUUCUGAGUAGGCAAAUGUCUGUGCCACAAAGGUUUCCCAUGGCACAGCCAUCUGGGCAGAGAUCAAUCUGGAAAUUAAAUUCAGUCAUUUAGAUUAGUCUUGCUUCAGAUGUGACUUUCGCUAUGUGGUCGGCACGAAUGCUUCAGCAAUAAAACAAUUCACUCAGCACCCUGUCCUUUCUUAGUCCUUUCAUGCCUUAUGAUAUGUUGUAACUCACACAUACCUGUCAGAUAGAUCCAUUAGACUGUAAACUCUGGGACAAAGAUAUGUCUUCUGUGAAGUGCUUAGCACUUCUGGGCAAUAAAAAGUAAAUAAAAUACAAAUCAUUCAUCUAGAACUGUUUACACUCCACCCUUUGGCAUCAUCUCACAUCAGCUCUUGAAGCAAUACCAACAGUCAUGAAUAGAUAAGCAGUGCACCAGAACAAGGCAGUUAGCCAGAUAGGUUCCUUUCAGUCACCGAACUCAUUUUCAGGAAAUUGCCUUAGUGCUUUCUUGCAUUUUUGUUCUUAUUGACUUAUUUUUUAUUCAUCUAAAUGCUUGGGUAGCCAGAACGGGUAAUUAUUUUUAAUAGUGCUUUUCAUUAACAGUGUUAUAUUGAUACUGAGGCAGGGGUAGUAAAAACAUUUGGUUUUUGAAUGCGUUCGUCCACUGCUCCCAUUCCUUUCUGCCACAGUGUCUGCAAACGUUCUUUUCAAAUGUACCAAGUUUAAGAAAUUAAAUAUAUGUGCUAAGAGAUCUUGACCUUGAAAGGAGAGGCUGUUGUGAUUGUCCUGCAGAAAGCUAAAAAGGUUGAUUAUACUUUAAAUCACAGUGAUAUCAGACACGAUUAUUCCAGUUUGAGAGAAAUGUUGAUAGAAUUAAUUUAGACCUCAUGCCCAGUUAAAAGAACAUCCUAUAUCCAGAAUUAACUGAUGGAAAGUUGUUGGGUAAAAGGUAUGAGAAUCUGAGCAAUGGUUCAUUUAAACUUGAGGGAACUUCAGAGAAGUCUUUCCUCACUAAGAGCUCUCAGCUCCUGACAGUCAGGGAUUUCAGGUUUUUAAACUGAAGAUUUCAGUGGGGUCAAAGUGUUGAAGAGUUUCCUACAGUCAUAAUUUCCGUGUAUUUAUCCAGUUUAUCUUAAGCAUAUUUUAUACAUUCAGUGUCCACAUUAUCCUAUACAAAUGAGUCUAAAACUCACUGUAAGAAGUUCUUUUAUUUAGUUGGUUUUACAUCUUUCAUAUUUGCCAUUCUUGGCACUUUGCUAAGAAAAAAGAGGUAAAAGCCAUUUACCAUACCAUAUCACCCAUAGUUAUGUAUAUCUUUAUAAUAUUACACUUCAGCUAUGUCUCUUUCAAGGUGAAGAAUCCAUCCUCCAACUAUUCUGUCCUCCUAUAUUCUAUAUUCUGUGCUAUAUACUAGAACUCCAUGCUACUGCUCUCUCCAUGUCUUCUUGCAACUUUUGAAAAAGUAGGACACCCAGAAUAGGACACUUCUUUUUUCAGGUGUAAAAGUGUUUUCUGUUUUAUUCAUUUACUUGCCUAGUUGUUCCUAAAAUGCCAUUUCCUUCCGAGUAUGCAGGCAGUGUUUUUAGAAAACUGCCAACAAGGACUCCAAGAUCCCUUUCCUGAAUGGUAAUAACUAAUUUAGAGUAUAUAGUUUUGUUAAAAUUAUUUUUCCCAUGUGCAUUGCUUUGCAUUUUUUUUUUGAUGCUGAAUUUCAUCUGCCACUUCAUUGCUUCAGUCAAUUAGUAUUUUGAGAUUCUUCUGCAAUACUUCCCAGACAGGAAGGUCCCUGUAAAUUUCACAGAAGAGUAAAAUUGGAAUCUAUGGCCUUUAAAUUUAAUCUCAUCUUUGUUACAUUUUUAAUGGUGUAAUACGUUUCUUCUGGUCAGAUUUAUAACCUGAUCUGCAUCAUGGGAUGUACCUGAGGGAGUAAGAAUGUUUGAAGCAAUGUUUUUUUCCUAAGCACAGCUUAUCGCAGUAGUGAAUGCCAGGCAGUCUGAAGGAUGGGGCCAUUUCCUCAUCAAUUAGAGAUGUGUGUAUGUGGGAAAUUGCACCAACUUAAAUGCAUUCCACCUGAGCUCAUCUGGCCUGUUUUUAUAGUGAAAAAUAUCAAUUUUUUGCUAAUGCUGGUUUCUUCACAUCACUUCUAAUAAUACUUGGAUCCUUGGCGCAAAUGAUGCAUGAGUGAUUGCUAGUCUUCUAGUUGCUGUAUGGGUUAUACCUUCUUACAGUAAGUUUACAUGAAAUACCGUUUAAAAUAAAUGAACAAGGGCUGCUUCAAAAGUAAUGCCUCCUAUUUUAUUAUGUUUGCUCAUGAUGUUAGAGGUGAAUGCUGGUGAUAUGGCCAUAGAAGUUGAACCUUCCCACCAAUAUUCUAUUACAUUUUGUUGCUGUGAGACAGAUGGCAGAAGAGGAGUGGUUCAACAAAUGGUGCAUGCCAUGGAAGUACAGAUUAAGCAAAGGUGUGGAAUUGAAUUCCUCUAUGAGGACAAAAUGGCAUUCAGUGACAUUAAUCAGUGCUUGCUAAACGUUUAUGGAGACCAAACAGGGGGUGUGAGCUCAGUGAGGCGGUGGGUGGUGCAUCUCAGCAGUGGAGACAACGAUGUGAAAGACAAGCCACGUUCUGGAUAGUCCCACAGAUUUUUUGUGAAUGUGGCUCACAGGCUCUUGUUGAUCAGUGUCAAAAAUUGUAUCUCUUGUUCAUCUGUGUCAAAAAUGUGUAGCUAAUGGUGGCAACUAUGUUGAACCAAUAGUAUGUUGUAGCAGAGAAUUUUCUCUAUCAAAAAAUAUUACUGUGCUCUUUGUAUCUGUUGCAGUUUCCAUGGAAAUAAGUAGGAGGCAUUACUUUCGAGUGACCUAAGCAUUUUGUUUCAGUUUUUAUGCAUAUCUUUGCUGAGUACUCAUUUGAGGUAGCAAAGUGAGAGUGCUUCCAUUCUACCCAGAGCAGCUCCCUCACUAAUUGACCUAAUUAACAUUAUCCAUAAAACACAAAUAGAAAAUUCACCUUUACCUGAGGAUGGUAGAUUUUUUAGCUCUUGUUCUCUCCAAUGCUUCCACCCACAUGAAAGGAUGAGCUGGGAAGUCUGUGGCUCACGCUGGAUAUUCCAGACUCACUACAUCAGCUCUAGCUGAAGAAGCCUCAUAUGGAUUAUGGCAGAUGGGCAAAGAGGAUGUAGUCUAGAUGGCAGAUAGGUGAGAAGAAAGGAUAUGGGGAGAUUGCUGAGAUGGCAGUGAAGAAGCCACUGCUCUACAAAUUUGAUAGAAAAAUUUAAGCACAAAAACCAGGGAACCCUCAGUGCUAUUUCUACAGAAUCAUGCUUGUAGAAUAUAACGGCCGUUUGAUACACUAAAUUGUUUGUUAAAAUAAAACUAGUUUUCAUUAGGCUUCUUGCCAAUAACAAGGAUUAUUUUCACCCAAGUAUGCCCCGUGAUCUAGUCUUAUCUUUCACCAUUCCAAACUGACCCGUAUCAGUAAAUCUGAGAGACAAAUACAGUUCCAUCAUGCCGUUUGUACUUUUAUAUCAAAGCAUUAAGUAUUUACAUGAAGCUAUUUCCCAGCUCUGAGGAGAGGAAA